AUUAAGAGUUCUAUUUUGAUACUACUACCUUCAUCAUCUCCUCAUGCAGCUAGACCAACACAUUGAUAUCCUAUUUGUAACCCCAACAAUUCUGUAACUAUUUAUAGAUGAAGGAUUGUUGGGGUUACCGAUGGAUCCAAUUUGGUUGAGCUAUCGAAGAAGAAGAUGAAGGUAGUAGUUUCAAAAUGGAACCUUCAAU
rnacentral:pre_miRNA from 1 species